rnacentral:rRNA from 1 species
UACGAAGGGGGCUAGCGUUGCUCGGAAUCACUGGGCGUAAAGGGUGCGUAGGCGGGUCUUUAAGUCAGGGGUGAAAUCCUGGAGCUCAACUCCAGAACUGCCUUUGAUACUGAAGAUCUUGAGUUCGGGAGAGGUGAGUGGAACUGCGAGUGUAGAGGUGAAAUUCGUAGAUAUUCGCAAGAACACCAGUGGCGAAGGCGGCUCACUGGCCCGAUACUGACGCUGAGGCACGAAAGCGUGGGGAGCAAACAGA